rnacentral:rRNA from 1 species
GAUGAACGCUGGCGGCGUGCCUAAUACAUGCAAGUCGAGCGAAUGGAUUAAGAGCUUGCUCUUAUGAAGUUAGCGGCGGACGGGUGAGUAACACGUGAGUAACCUGCCCAUAAGACUGGGAUAACUCCGGGAAACCGGGGCAAAUACCGGAUAACAUUUUGAACCGAAUGGUUCGAAAGUGAAAGGCGGCGUGGGCUGUCACUUAUGGAUGGACCCGCGUCGCAUUAGCUAGUUGGUGAGGUAACGGCUCACCAAGGCAACGAUGCGUAGCCGACCUGAGAGGGUGAUCGGCCACACUGGGACUGAGACACGGCCCAGACUCCUACGGGAGGCAGCAGUAGGGAAUCUUCCGCAAUGGACGAAAGUCUGACGGAGCAACGCCGCGUGAGUGAUGAAGGCUUUCGGGUCGUAAAACUCUGUUGUUAGGGAAGAACAAGUGCUAGUUGAAUAAGCUGGCACCUUGACGGUACCUAACCAGAAAGCCACGGCUAACUACGUGCCAGCCGCCGCCGUAA